AGUGAACGCUGGCGGCAUGCCUAACACAUGCAAGUCGAACGGCAGCACAGUAAGAUUGUGCUCUUACGGGUUGCGAGUGGCGGACGGGUGAGGAAUACAUCGGAAUCUUCUUUUUCGUGGGGGAUAACGUAAGGAAACUUACUCUAAUACCGCAUACGAUCUACCGGUGAAAGCAGUGGAUCGUUGCACCUUUCGCGGAUGGAAUAGCCGAUGUCGGAGUAGCUGGUGGGGUGGGUAAAGGCCCACCCAGUCGACGAUCCGUAGCUUGUCUGAGAGGAUGGUCGGCCACCCUGGAACUGGGACACGGACAAGACUCCUACGGGAGGCAGCAGAGGGGAAUGUUGGACAGUGGGCGCAAGCAUGACCCAACCAUGCGGAGUGGGUGAAGAAGGCCUUCGGGUUGUGAAGACCGCUUGUUGGGAAAGAAAAGCUGUAGCUUAAUACGCCGCUGUUCUGACGGUACCGAAUGAAUAAGCACCGGCUAACUACGUG
rnacentral:rRNA from 1 species